AAGACAACGACACUGUCUCCGGUAUAAGAUUCCAUUUGAAGUACUGCUUCUUCCUUUCUUGCCUCGUAGAUGCUAUCACAUUAGCAUUCAAGAUGUUGUCUCCAAAGCUGAUCCGUUGAAGUCGUUCCCUGUGAUAUAUGCAACAGAAUAUCGUUAUCUCACAC